CCUACGGGAGGCAGCAGUGGGGAAUAUUGGACAAUGGGGGGAACCCUGAUCCAGCCAUGCCGCGUGUGUGAAGAAGGCCCUCGGGUUGUAAAGCACUUUCAGUGAGGAAGAACGCCUGGUGGUUAAUACCCAUCAGGAAAGACAUCACUCACAGAAGAAGCACCGGCUAACUCCGUGCCAGCAGCCGCGGUAAUACGGAGGGUGCGAGCGUUAAUCGGAAUUACUGGGCGUAAAGCGCGCGUAGGUGGCUUGAUAAGCCGGUUGUGAAAGCCCCGGGCUCAACCGGGGAACGGCAUCCGGAGCUGUGAAGCGAGAGUGCAGGAGAGGAAGGUAGGGGUCCCGGGGUGGCGGUGGAGGGCGGAGGGGGCGGGAGGGGGAGGGGUGGCGAAGGGGGGGUUGGGGGCUGACGGUGGGGGGGGGGUGGGGGGGGGGGGGGAGGGGGCGGGGGGGGGGGGGGGUGGAGUG
rnacentral:rRNA from 1 species